rnacentral:rRNA from 1 species
AUUGAACGCUGGCGGCAGGCCUAACACAUGCAAGUCGAACGGUAACAGGAAGAAGCUUGCUUCUUUGCUGACGAGUGGCGGACGGGUGAGUAAUGUCUGGGAAACUGCCUGAUGGAGGGGGAUAACUACUGGAAACGGUAGCUAAUACCGCAUAACGUCGCAAGACCAAAAAGGGGGACCUUCGGGCCUCUUGCCAUCGGAUGUGCCCAGAUGGGAUUAGCUAGUAGGUGGGGUAACGGCUCACCUAGGCGACGAUCCCUAGCUGGUCUGAGAGGAUGACCAGCCACACUGGAACUGAGACACGGUCCAGACUCCUACGGGAGGCAGCAGUGGGGAAUAUUGCACAAUGGGCGCAAGCCUGAUGCAGACAUGCCGCGUGUAUGAAGAAGGCCUUCGGGUUGUAAAGUACUUUCAGCGGGGAGGAAGGGAGUAAAGUUAAUACCUUUGCUCAUUGACGUUACCCGCAGAAGAAGCACCGGCUAACUCCGUG